rnacentral:rRNA from 1 species
CCUACGGGAGGCAGCAGCAGGGAAUCUUGCGCAACGGGCGAAAGCCUGACGCAGCGACACCGCGUGCGGGAAGACAGCCUUCGGGUUGUAAACCGCUUUUCUAUGGGACUACUUCGAAUGUACCGUAGGAAUAAGUCACGGCUAAUCACGUG